rnacentral:rRNA from 1 species
UACGUAGGGCGCAAGCGUUGUCCGGAAUUAUUGGGCGUAAAGAGCUCGUAGGUGGCGUGUCGCGUCUGCCGUGAAAGCCCAUGGCUUAACUGUGGGUCUGCGGUGGAUACGGGGAGGCUGGAGGCUGGUAGGGGCAAGCGGAAUUCCUGGUGUAGCGGUGAAAUGCGCAGAUAUCAGGAGGAACACCGGUGGCGAAGGCGGCUUGCUGGGCCAGUUCUGACGCUGAGGAGCGAAAGCGUGGGGAGCGAACAGG